UUAAGGCACUUAAAAAAUAAAAAAAUCGUAUUUAACAAAAAUCUUAAACAUUUGGUUUGUAAUUUAACACCAGCGUUCGCACAAACGGUGAAUACCCGAAAAGUGCUGACCAUGCGUCAACAAGUCAACGCAUGACAACAACACAUUGUAAUGAUUUACAUAACAUUAGCAACAAUUAGCGUCAAUAAGUCGCGCAUGACAACAACAUCAGCAAACACAUAAGGUUAAAAGUUGCAUAUUCGAUUUGAUUCCCAUCGAAUUGCUGACAAUGCAUCUGCAAGCUUGCUAGGAAGAACAAACAACUUCUGGAGUCAAGAUACAUCAAAGGGGCAUUAGUUACGCGGCAGCAACUGCUAGUGUUUAGGUAAGUUAGGCACUUAGGCGUAGUCGCCGCAAAUUUGUAAAAUCAAAAGUUAGUUGUUAUAACUCACCCAGCGUUAUCGGCUGUACUUGCAUAGCAAGUAGUAAAAUAAACGGACGUUAAAAAAUUAAAAUUAAGCUUAAAAUAUGCUGUACGUACCUAUAGGAUAGUUCUGAGACUUUCACAUUGUAACUAAAUAUGUUAUGCUGUUGCAAAAACAAAGAAAACAAUGAUCAAAUUGUCAGAUAAAGGACCAAUCAAUAAUGUCUUUCCCUCGCAUAGAUAUGUACAUUAUUAAAUGUAGUCCCUACGAUAUGUCGAAAUUUAAUAAAUCAAAGCACACAUCUAAUUGUUACUAGAGAAACAUUGUGAAGAAUUGUGUUUAGAAUUUUUUCCUUGUUCAUAACGCUAUUAACUAACCUCAGACAACUAGAUGGGUGAAGCCGAGGAAGAUUCCAUGGAGUCCUUGAUUGAUGUCGAAAGCAUUGAGCAAGCAAACAAGCAAGAAAGAUUAAUAGAAAUCCACAUAAAAGGCAAGUUAACUCCAGAAAAACUGACAAAAAACUCGGUAGUAGUAGAAAUUUAAAAAGCUGGAAGUGGAAGUAAUAGAUUACAUGAAACUGAUACAACAGAUGUUUUUGGGCAGGCUCAUAAUGGAUCCGCUGGGAGCUUCAACAAUGUGUAGAUCUGUCAGGAGAUGCAUACCUCAAGGAGGCGUGUUAUCACCACUCCUCUGGACUUUAACAAUGAACAAAAUGUUGUUAUAUCUAGAAAAGAGGAAAGUGUAUGUGGUGGCCUACGCUGCUGAUAUGGCUGUCUCGGUUAAAGGUAAAUUUCCAAACACCCUCGCUAAACUUAUGCAAACAAUAUUAAAUUAUAUAAAUCGAUGGGGAUAAAUUUGCGAUUAAACAUAAUGGUAGCAAAACGGAGUUAGGGAUAUUUAACCUGAAACACAAGAUUCCAGAUUUCAUACUACCUUCAAUAAAUAGCACCCCGUUAUCAAUAGGUGAGAAAGCAUGCUACAUUGGAUGAAUUUUAAAACAGGAAACUAUAAUGUAAACCUAAAUGGGGACAAAGCCCUCGAUUAUGAAAUACGGUAUAUUGGUCUGAUAGCCAAUAAUGGAAAAGCAUUAUGCAGAAAGACAUAUAGAAAGUUUACAAAGAACAACAGGCAUAUAGUACAUCAGUGGAGCUUUUAGAACAACGCCAAGUCAUGCACUAGAUCUUAUUCUGUAUAUACUGUCUAUAGACCUAUUCUUUAAGCAACAGGCAACGAGUCACUUGGACUUAUAGAAUCUUCCCUACUAGUCAGUUGCAAUAAGGGACAUUCUAAUAUACUCAACAAGUUCCCUUUUCAACUAAUCUCCUCCAGCAACCAGAUCACUGUAGUGUCUUCAAAACGAAUAUUGUUGCAGUUAAAGAAUACCUUUUUUCUGACAAAAAAAAAACAAAACAUUUGAUAUUUCGUUUCGAUAUUCUGCUUGAACAUUAAUUUAAAUUUUUCAUAAGGAUUGCAAUGCAUGACCCGCGAUCGCAGUGAAGUAACGUAAUUUCGUCAAUGAAAUAAAUCACAUACCUUAUUAGAUGUUAGUAAGUAGUAUUUAAAGAAACAAAAAUAUAUAACAUGCUAAAAGAAAAAGUAACCAAAUGAAUAAAACUUAAUUUUAUACCAUAGAAAAUUGCUAUUUGUGCAAAAUUCAAAUUUUUAGUUUAGUAUUAACUUUUAAAUAGAUAAACAAUUUGAAUGAAAUGUUUUCGAUUUAUUAAUAUCAAAUUGGGCCUCCGUUCUUGUUUUCCAAAAGUUUUUGUCAAAGAAUUGACCAUCCUUUACAGUACUGAAACGUUUAUCUUCGCCCACUCCUCCUCAAUGGCUUGGUUUAGCAGUCACUCUGCUUUUGUUCAGCUAAAAAAUGUUGUUGAAAAUAUGUCCCAUAAAUCCUCUAUUGAAUUGAGAUCUAGACUUAAUGACGGACACUGAAGUUAGGGAAUAUUACGCGACUCAAAAAAUGCUUUAGUAUACCCUGCGACGUGAAGAGCGUUAUUUUACUGGAACACCCAGAUAUUGCCAUGAUUUGCCUUAGCAACUAUGUCCAUCAAUUCCAUAUAUGUUUUGCUUUCAAGGCAAGACAAUAGGAGACUUCUCUAUGGCGCUAAGAGCAGCCCACGUCAUUAGAGAUCCACCGCCAUGUUUGCGCUUAUGGUAAGUAUGGCGAGGUUGCCGUGGAUCCUCCAAUACUCAUGAUCCAUCUAAAUUAAAUAUUUUUUCAUCACAAAAUAUCAAAUUUUGAAACUAUACUUCUUAGAAUUUGUAUUUUUCGAAAAAGGAUGAAUGCGUUUUUAUGGUUAUUUUAUAAGUGCGGUUUAGACACUUUGGAUUCAUGUUUAAGAUUUAAGUCUUCAUACAAAAUUUGUUGUACACGUGGUCUUGGCACUUAUAACCAAAUUCCGCUUUAAGUUGGAGCAGCUCAUCAUGUGCAAUAUGCCAUUUGGUACAUUCAUUUAUUGAAGAUUUUGGUCCCGUACGAUUAAAUUUUUUGUGUUCCUCGGGGUUUCUAAAAAGUUUCGUAUGGGUUUUCUAUGCCACAUUAGUUCAGCAGUGUUUACAUAAAUUUUUAAAACAUCUUUGUUCAUAAUCUCAAUCUUGAUCUGUUCCACAGACGAAAUUCGGUUCCAAGUGGCAUUUUUAGCUAAACUUAAAGUUAGUUCUGGUUUUUAUAGGCAUAUAAUUAUUUUUCAAUUAUUUCUUGCAUACAUACUUGUUAGUUGUUUUUAUAAUUCCAAUAGUCGAGAUGUUGACACCGCGACAGCCAAAAAACAAAUAAAUAAUUUUGCACAUAUACCUAUUUUCUAACUGUACUAUGAGCAGAGUGUUGUCGUCGAUUUUAUGUGCGGUAAACAGAAAUAAAGCAUUAAUAAACAUAAUUGCAUACUCAGAAUUAAGGUAUUGUUUUUUUCUUUUGAGAAUUAUAACAAAAAAAUUGCAUAUAUAUCAAUUUUACUGAGGUACUAUGG